UUCCUUGUCGGGUAAGUUCCGACCUGCACGAAUGGCGUAAUGAUGGCCAGGCUGUCUCCACCCGAGACUCAGUGAAAUUGAACUCGCUGUGAAGAUGCAGUGUACCCGCGGCAAGACGGAAAGACCCCGUGAACCUUUACUAUAGCUUGACACUGAACAUUGAGCCUUGAUGUGUAGGAUAGGUGGGAGGCUUAGAAGUGUGGACGCCAGUCUGCAUGGAGCCGACCUUGAAAUACCACCCUUUAAUGUUUGAUGUUCUAACGUUGACCCGUAAUCCGGGUUGCGGACAGUGUCUGGUGGGUAGUUUGACUGGGGCGGUCUCCUCCUAAAGAGUAACGGAGGAGCACGAAGGUUGGCUAAUCCUGGUCGGACAUCAGGAGGUUAGUGCAAUGGCAUAAGCCAGCUUGACUGCGAGCGUGACGGCGCGAGCAGGUGCGAAAGCAGGUCAUAGUGAUCCGGUGGUUCUGAAUGGAAGGGCCAUCGCUCAACGGAUAAAAGGUACUCCGGGGAUAACAGGCUGAUACCGCCCAAGAGUUCAUAUCGACGGCGGUGUUUGGCACCUCGAUGUCGGCUCAUCACAUCCUGGGGCUGAAGUAGGUCCCAAGGGUAUGGCUGUUCGCCAUUUAAAGUGGUACGCGAGCUGGGUUUAGAACGUCGUGAGACAGUUCGGUCCCUAUCUGCCGUGGGCGCUGGAGAACUGAGGGGGGCUGCUCCUAGUACGAGAGGACCGGAGUGGACGCAUCACUGGUGUUCGGGUUGUCAUGCCAAUGGCACUGCCCGGUAGCUAAAUGCGGAAGAGAUAAGUGCUGAAAGCAUCUAAGCACGAAACUUGCC
rnacentral:rRNA from 1 species